rnacentral:lncRNA from 1 species
GACCUGAGUGGAAAUCAGGAGUCACAUGCUUAACUGAAUGAGCCACCCAGGUGCCCCUAGACUUACCUUUUUAAAAAAAAAUUUUUUUAACAUUUAUUUAUUUUUUGAUAGAGACAGAGCGUGAUCGGGGGAGGGGCAGAGAGAGAGGGAGACAGAGAAUCUGAAGCAAGCUCCAGGCUUUGAACUGACAGCACAGACCCGGACGCGGAGCUUGAACUCAUGGACCAUGAGAUCAUGACCUGAGUUGAAGUCAGACACUUAACUGAGCCACCCAGGUGCCCCCUCUAGACUUACUUUUUUUUUUUUUUUUUAAUGUUUAUUCACCUUUGAGAGACAGAGACAGAGCAUGAGCUGGGAAGGGGCAGAUAGAGAGGGAGACACAGAAUCCGAAGCAGGCUCCAGGCUCUGAGCUGUCAGCACAGAGCCCGAUGCAGGGCUUGAACUCACGAACUGUGAGAUCGUGACCUGAGCCGAAGUCGGAUGCUCAACUGACUGAGCGACCCAGGCACCCCCUAGACUUACUUUUUUAACUUAAAUAUUUUUUCUGCACCUCUUAAUUACUACAUGGUUUGACUAUAGGAUGUUCAUAUAACUUGUUUGCAAAUUAGGUUUUAAAUUAUUUUUUGCAUCAUAAUGCUGUGAUCAGUAUCUUUAUGCAUACUUCUUUGCACAUUGUUGGGUUGUUUCCUUCAUGUAGAUGCUUAGGUGUAAAAUUGUUGGGUCAAGGUGUAUGUAUAUUUUAAAAUAUUUGAUCUGCUUUGCCACAUUGCCCUCUACAGCAGUUGAUUGUAUUUUUACAAAUACGAUCUGAAGAUGACCUUGUUUUCAAUCCUGUCUUCAAAGACUUGGUCAACCUUACCUAUGGAAGAUUCAGUCACCAAAAUGGAUGGGACUCUACAGACAAACGGAUAUUUGAGUAUGGAAUGCUCUAGGACAAUCCACAACCUUUGACUCAUCGUUUACACUGGAAGAACAGAACAGAGAUUUGGUUUCCGAGCAUUGGAUCUCAGCCCUUAACUUGCCACCACCCACCUACCUACUUAGCACCACCACCAUAUGAAUUCUGUGUUUUUAUUUUGUGCAGCCAGUCUACAGUAGAUGUGCUUUUAUUCAAAGCUUUUGUUUUCGGAGGUUUUCUUUGUUGUGUUUUU